rnacentral:rRNA from 1 species
GACGAACGCUGGCGGCGUGCUUAACACAUGCAAGUCGAACGCUGAAGCUCAGCUUUUGUUGGGUGGAUGAGUGGCGAACGGGUGAGUAACACGUGAGUAACCUGCCCCCUUCUUUGGGAUAACGCCCGGAAACGGGUGCUAAUACUGGAUAUUCACUGGUCUUCGCAUGGGGGUUGGUGGAAAGGGUUUUUCUGGUGGGGGAUGGGCUCGCGGCCUAUCAGCUUGUUGGUGGGGUGAUGGCCUACCAAGGCUUUGACGGGUAGCCGGCCUGAGAGGGUGACCGGUCACAUUGGGACUGAGAUACGGCCCAGACUCCUACGGGAGGCAGCAGUGGGGAAUAUUGCACAAUGGGCGCAAGCCUGAUGCAGCGACGCCGCGUGAGGGAUGGAGGCCUUCGGGUUGUGAACCUCUUUCGCUCAUGGUCAAGCCGCAACAAUGGUUGUGGUGAGGGUAGUGGGAAAG